rnacentral:lncRNA from 1 species
CACAAUUCAAUCAAAAUUCAUGUGUUUAAUAACAACAUUUCCAUUAUUCCCACAAUUCAAUCAAAUUUCAUGGGUUUAACAACAACAUUUUCAUUUUUCAAACAAUUCAAUCAAAUUUCUUGGAUUUAACAUCAACAUUUCAUCAUUUCCACCAUUAAAUAAAUUUCAUAGAUUUAACAACAACAUUUUCAUCAUUCCCACAAUUCAAUCAAAAUUCAUGGGUUUAACAUCAUCAUUUUCAUCAUUCACAGAGUUCAAUCUUAUUUCAUGGGUUUAACAUCAACAUUUCAUCAUUUCCACAAUUCAAUCAAAUUUCAUAGGUUUAACAACAACAUUUUCAUCAUUCACACAAUUCAAUCAAAUUUCAUGGGAUUAUCAUCAUCAUUUUCAUUAUUCCCACAAUUCAAUCAAAUUUCCUGUUUUUAACGUCAUCACUUUUAUCAUUCACACAGUUCAAUUGAAUUUCAUGGGUUUAACAUCAACAUUUCAUCAUUUCCACAAUUCAAUCAAAUUUCAUAGGUUUAACAACAACAUUUUCAUCAUUUACACAAUUCAAUCAAAUUUUAUAGGUUUAACAACAACAUUUU